GCCUGGCUGGCCCAAUUGGUAGAGCAUGGGACUCUCCAUCUCAGGGUCAUGAGUUCGAACCCCAUGUUGGGCU
rnacentral:tRNA from 1 species